UCGGGUAUGGUGUAGCGGUAACAUCGGUGACUCUCACAUCAGAGAGGUUCUCACCAGCCCGGGGUUCGACUCCCCGUAUCCGAG
rnacentral:tRNA from 1 species